GCGAAAAGUUAACAUGGCGGAAAAACGACCAAAACCGUGUAAAAAGAAGAAAUCCGAGACUCUGGAGAAAGUUCUGAAUGAUGGUUUAGCCUUGUUGG